rnacentral:ncRNA from 13 species
UAUAGUCUAGUUGGUCAGGAUAUUCGGCCUUCACCCGAACGACCUGGGUUCGAGUCCCAGU